GACGAACGCUGGCGGCGUGCUUAACACAUGCAAGUCGAACGAUGAACCCGGAGCUUGCUCCGGUGGAUUAGUGGCGAACGGGUGAGUAACACGUGAGUAACCUGCCCUUGACUCUGGGAUAACUGCGGGAAACUGUAGCUAAUACCGGAUACGACCCUCGGCGGCAUCGCCAGGGGGUGGAAAGAAUUUCGGUCAAGGAUGGACUCGCGGCCUAUCAGCUAGUUGGUGAGGUAACGGCUCACCAAGGCGACGACGGGUAGCCGGCCUGAGAGGUGGACCGGCCAAACUGGGACUGAGACACGGCCCAGACUCCUACGGGAGGCAGCAGUGGGGAAUAUUGCACAAUGGGCGCAAGCCUGAUGCAGCAACGCCGCGUGAGGGAUGACGGCCUUCGGGUUGUAAACCUCUUUCAGCACCGACGAAGCGCAAGUGACGGUAGGUGCAGAAGAAGGACCGGCCAACUACGUGCCAGCCGCCGCAGUAA
rnacentral:rRNA from 1 species